rnacentral:rRNA from 1 species
CUCGUUGGUGACAGCGGAAGGAUCAUUCC